rnacentral:rRNA from 1 species
UGAGAUUCCCUCAGUAGCGGCGAGCGAACGGGGAUCAGCCCAUUAAGUUAUGUGUGUUUUAGUGGAACGCUCUGGGAAGUGCGAACGUAGAGGGUGAUAUUCCCGUACACGAAAGGGCACACAUAAUGAUGACGAGUAGGGCGAGGCACGUGAAACCUUGUCUGAAUAUGGGGGGACCAUCCUCCAAGGCUAAAUACUCCUGACUGACCGAUAGUGAACCAGUACCGUGAGGGAAAGGCGAAAAGAACCCCUGUGAGGGGAGUGAAAUAGAUCCUGAAACCGCAUGCAUACAAGCAGUGGGAGCACCUUCGUGGUGUGACUGCGUACCUUUUGUAUAAUGGGUCAGCGACUUAUAUUCAGUAGCGAGGUUAACCGUAUAGGGGAGCCGUAGAGAAAUCGAGUCUUAAUAGGGCGUUUAGUUGCUGGGUAUAGACCCGAAACCAGGCGAUCUAUCCAUGAGCAGGUUGAAGGUUGGGUAACACUAACUGGAGGACCGAACCCACUGUCGUUGAAAAGCCAGGGGAUGACUUGUGGAUAGGGGUGAAAGGCUAAUCAAGCCUGGUGAUAGCUGGUUCUCCCCGAAAGCUAUUUAGGUAGCGCCUCGGACGAAUACCAUAGGGGGUAGAGCACUGUUUCGGCUAGGGGGUCAUCCCGACUUACCAAACCGAUGCAAACUCCGAAUACCUAUGAGUACUAUCCGGGAGACAGACUGCGGGUGCUAACGUCCGUAGUCAAGAGGAAAACAAUCCAGACCGCCAGCUAAGGCCCCAAAAUCAUAGUUAAGUGGGAAACGAUGUGGGAAGGCAUAGACAGCUAGGAGGUUGGCUUAGAAGCAGCCACCCUUUAAAGAAAGCGUAAUAGCUCACUAGUCGAGUCGGCCUGCGCGGAAGAUGUAACGGGGCUAAAACUAUGUGCCGAAGCUGCGGAUGUAUACUUUGUAUACGUGGUAGGGGAGCGUUCUGUAAGCCGAUGAAGGUGUGUUGAGAAGCAUGCUGGAGGUAUCAGAAGUGCGAAUGCUGACGUGAGUAACGACAAAACGGGUGAAAAACCCGUUCGCCGAAAGACCAAGGGUUCCAGUCCAACGUUAAUCGGGGCUGGGUGAGUCGACCCCUAAGGCGAGGCCGAAAGGCGUAGUCGAUGGGAAAAUGGUUAAUAUUCCAUUACUUCUGUGUAAUGCGAUGAGAGGACGGAGAAGGCUAAAUCAGCCUGGCGUUGGUUGUCCAGGUGAAAGGAUGUAGGCAUGUAUCUUAGGCAAAUCCGGGGUACUCUAUGCUGAGAUCUGAUAGCAAGCUGUACUUGUACAGCGAAGUGGUUGAUGCCAUGCUUCCAGGAAAAGUCUCUAAGCUUCAGUUACACAGGAAUCGUACCCGAAACCGACACAGGUGGUCAGGUCGAGUAGACCAAGGCGCUUGAGAGAACUCUGCUGAAGGAACUAGGCAAAAUGGUACCGUAACUUCGGGAGAAGGUACGCUGUUGUUGGUGAUGGAACUCGCUUCCUGAGCUGACGACAGCCGCAGAAACCAGGCCGCUGCAACUGUUUAUUAAAAACAUAGCACUCUGCAAACACGAAAGUGGACGUAUAGGGUGUGAUGCCUGCCCGGUGCUGGAAGGUUAAUUGAUGGGGUUAGCGUAAGCGAAGCUCUUGAUCGAAGCCCCAGUAAACGGCGGCCGUAACUAUAACGGUCCUAAGGUAGCGAAAUUCCUUGUCGGGUAAGUUCCGACCUGCACGAAUGGCAUAAUGAUGGCGGCGCUGUCUCCAGCAGAGGCUCAGUGAAAUCGAAAUCGCUGUGAAGAUGCAGUGUACCCGCGGCUAGACGGAAAGACCCCGUGAACCUUUACUGCAGCUUGACACUGAACUUUGACCUUACUUGUGUAGGAUAGGUGGGAGGCUUUGAAGCUGGAACGCUAGUUCCAGUGGAGCCGUCCUUGAAAUACCACCCUGGUAAUGUUGAGGUUCUAACUCUGUCCCGUGAUCCGGGACGAGGACCGUGUCUGGUGGGUAGUUUGACUGGGGCGGUCUCCUCCUAAAGAGUAACGGAGGAGUACGAAGGUGCGCUCAGCGUGGUCGGAAAUCACGCGUAGAGUAUAAAGGCAAAAGCGCGCUUAACUGCGAGACCCACAAGUCGAGCAGGUACGAAAGUAGGUCUUAGUGAUCCGGUGGUUCUGUAUGGAAGGGCCAUCGCUCAACGGAUAAAAGGUACUCUGGGGAUAACAGGCUGAUACCGCCCAAGAGUUCAUAUCGACGGCGGUGUUUGGCACCUCGAUGUCGGCUCAUCUCAUCCUGGGGCUGAAGCAGGUCCCAAGGGUAUGGCUGUUCGCCAUUUAAAGAGGUACGCGAGCUGGGUUUAGAACGUCGUGAGACAGUUCGGUCCCUAUCUACCGUGGGCGCUGGAAAUUUGAGAGGAUCUGCUCCUAGUACGAGAGGACCAGAGUGGACGAACCUCUGGUGUACCGGUUGUGACGCCAGUCGCAUCGCCGGGUAGCUAUGUUCGGAAGGGAUAACCGCUGAAAGCAUCUAAGCGGGAAGCCUACCUCAAGAUAAGAUUUCCCUAGGACUUUAUGUCCUCUAAAGAGCCGUUCGAGACUAGGACGUUGAUAGGUUGGAUGUGGAAGCAUAGUGAUAUGUGAAGCUGACCAAUACUAAUUGCUCGUGAGGCUUGACUAU